GCUCAUUCUAUUCGAAAACUUCAACAAAAUCAGUCGUGCUCCUAGCAAAUGAAAAAAAUUCUUUAAGCAUUUUUUUCUAUUUUACUUUGGAAUGAGCAGCUGGAAUACACCCUAAGCUGUCCCAUUAGAUAGAGUAUACGAGAACAGUACAGCGUUCCGACAUCCCACCAUGGACGGCUUCAACCCUUUCCAAGCGGGCCCCAGAUCGCAGGCUUCUUUUUAUAAUGGCUACAAUUGUCAGUGGUCUGCCAAUCGGAGCUGCGGAAAUGGCAGUUGCCAGCGCUUGGACGACUGCUGCUGCCAAGGCGGUUGCUGUCCAGGAGGGAACUGCUGUCCCGGCGGUCAAUGCCAGCGCAACGGAAUCAACUCGAAUCGUCAACAGAGCUCUUCCUACAAUGGACGCUGGCAUUAAAGAGCUUGGCGUUUCCAUUUAAUGGCAACAAAAAAUAUAAAAAAAAAAAACAAUGGCGGCGGCGAUGGUUGCUAUUCGCAGCUGCUGCAUUCCAACGAACUAAGUUGCAUAAAUGAAUGGAAACUUAGUGAAGUGGCUCAUCUUCUAUAUGUAAUUCUUUUUGGAAUAAUGGUUCGCAAUUGCGGAUAUUAUUCCUGGAAGAUGAGCCCAUUUACAUGGGCUUGACGGACAACUGGCAUUACGGACCCAAGUACCAUACAUAGAAUGGAUUGCAAUUCAAAUACAAUCCAAGACACACACACACACGACUAUUUUAUAGAUAACAUAUGAAUACUACACAUACUCUUAUUAUAUUCACACACACACGCGCACACAAGUAGUUUAAUGCAUAAGGGAACAAAAUAAAGGAUAACGGGCAACACCAAA